CGGAGGCGGCGAGUCGAGAGCCCAUGUGUCUGUGGGGGUGGCGGGAGGUGCCGCACAGGGAGGCGGACUACUCCGGAGCCGGGCAUCCAAAGAGGCAGAGAAGGAAGCGGAGUAUGGUCUGCGGAGUAUGUCUGACUGUCCCCCUCAGUGACCAUCCUGUCCUCCUAGCCGAGGUGCUGGAUUCCAAUUUUAGACUGUCUCAAAUUAGCCAUAAAGAGGGAAAGUAAAUACCAGAGGAGCUGAAGUCCUCUUGGACUACUGAAGUGUAAGCAAUGACCUCUUCAAAAACAUUCUGCCUGUCACUUGCCGCCACCACCAUCACCCACUUCAGGGCUGACUGUUGGAUACUGGGUGCAGGACCACCGAGGGACAGUGUUGGGAAUGAUUAAUGCAACCCAGUCCUGCAACCCAUUAAUACAAUUUUUCUUGACCUCUCCAUUUCCCCUUUUCUAAACUGUUUCUAACACAGUUGGUGAUAGUUUCACAGCUAAUCAACACCCACACUAUCUUUCUUCCACCCAAGGACACUGAGGGCUUAGAUGAAAAUGCACCUGAUUCUGGCAUCCCGUGCACAUCGGUGGGCAGACUGUGUGCACCUGGUAAGAGUGCACAGGGAGGCAGGAGGUCCCACCUGGCAUCGCCAACUGGCUGUUAAGGGGCCAUGUUAUUUCUGAGCCUUCUGUAAAACGAGAUAGUAAUCCCUCCUUUUUUGGCAGGCCUGUUGUGAGGACCAAAUAAGAUCGUGCAAGUAAAAACCUUUGAAAACAGCA